AUUGAACGCUGGCGGCAUGCCUUACACAUGCAAGUCGAACGGCAGCACGGGGCAACCUGGUGGCGAGUGGCGAACGGGUGAGUAAUGCAUCGGAACGUACCUUUCAGUGGGGGAUAACGUAGCGAAAGUUACGCUAAUACCGCAUAUUCUGUGAGCAGGAAAGCAGGGGAUCGCAAGACCUUGCGCUGAUUGAGCGGCCGAUGUCAGAUUAGCUAGUUGGUGAGGUAAAGGCUCACCAAGGCGACGAUCUGUAGCGGGUCUGAGAGGAUGAUCCGCCCCACUGGAACUGAGACGCGGUCCAGACUCCUACGGGAGGCAGCAUAGGGGAAUUUUGGACAAUGGGGGCAACCCUGAUCCAGCCAUGCCGCGUGAGUGAAGAAGGCCUUCGGGUUGUAAAGCUCUUUCGGCCGGGAAGAAAUCGCAUGGGCUAAUACCCUGUGUGGAUGACGGUACCGGAAUAAGAAGCACCGGCUAACUACGUGCCAGCAGCCGCCGUAAGAC
rnacentral:rRNA from 1 species